rnacentral:rRNA from 1 species
CUACGGGGGGCUGCAGUUAAGAAUUUUCUGCAAUACACGGAAGUGUGACAGAGUGAAUCAGAGUGUCUGUCAAUGACAGACUUUUGCCAGAUGCAAAAAAUCUGGCGAAUAAGGACUGGGUAAGACGGGUGCCAGCCGCCGCGGUAAUACCCGCGGUCCAAGUCGCAGCCAUUAUUAUUGGGUCUAAAACAUCCGUAGCUUGUUUAGAAAGUUUCUUGUGAAAUCGGACAUCUCAAGUGCCCGGCGUGCAAGAAGUACUACUAGGCUAGAGACCGGAAGACGUAAAGAGUACAAUCAAGGUAGUAGUUAAAUAUGUUAAUCUUGGCUGGACUAAUAAUAGCGAAGGCACUUUACGAGAACGGUUCUGACAGUAAGGGAUGAAGGCUAGGGGCGCAAAACGGAUUAGAUACCCCAGUAGUC